GUGGGGAAUAUUGGACAAUGGGGGGAACCCUGAUCCAGCCAUGCCGCGUGUGUGAAGAAGGCCUUUUGGUUGUAAAGCACUUUAAGCGAGGAGGAGGCUACCGAGAUUAAUACUCUUGGAUAGUGGACGUUACUCGCAGAAUAAGCACCGGCUAACUCUGUGCCAGCAGCCGCGGUAAUACAGAGGGUGCAAGCGUUAAUCGGAUUUACUGGGCGUAAAGCGCGCGUAGGUGGCCAAUUAAGUCAAAUGUGAAAUCCCCGAGCUUAAGUUGGGAAUUGCAUUCGGUACUGGUUGGCUAGAGUAUGGGAGAGGAUGGUAGAAUUCCAGGUGUAGCGGUGAAAUGCGUAGAGAUCUGGAGGAAUACCGAUGGCGAAGGCAGCCAUCUGGCCUAAUACUGACACUGAGGUGCGAAAGCAUGGGGAGCAAACAGGAUUAGAUACCCUUGUAGUCC
rnacentral:rRNA from 1 species